UACGGGGGGAGCAAGCGUUGUUCGGAUUUACUGGGCGUAAAGGGUGCGUAGGUGGCGGGGUAAGUCUGGUGUGAAAUCUCGGGGCUUAACUCCGAAACUGCAUUCGAUACUGCCGUGCUUGAGGACUGGAGAGGAGACUGGAAUUUACGGUGUAGCGGUGAAAUGCGUAGAUAUCGUAAGGAAGACCAGUGGCGAAGGCGGGUCUCUGGACAGUUCCUGACGCUGAGGCACGAAGGUCAGGGGAGCAAACGGG
rnacentral:rRNA from 1 species